CGCGUAGGCGGUCUUCUAAGUCCGAUGUUAAAGCCCGGGGCUCAACCCCGGCACGGCGUUGGAUACUGGUAGGCUUGACGGCUGGAGAGGCGAGUGGAAUUACCAGUGUAGCGGUGGAAUGCGUAGAUACUGGUAGGAACACCUAUGGCGAAGGCAGCUCGCUGGACAGCACGUGACGCUGAGGCGCGAAAGUGUGGGGAGCAAACCG
rnacentral:rRNA from 1 species